rnacentral:pre_miRNA from 1 species
AUAAUACUCCCUCCGUCCGAAAAUACUUGUCAUUAAAAUGGAUAAAAAGGGAUGUAUCUAAAAUUAAAAUACGUCUAGAUACAUCUCCUUUUAUCCAUUUUGAUGACAAGUAUUUCCGGACGGAGGGAGUAUAUA